GACGAACGCUGGCGGCGUGCCUAAUACAUGCAAGUCGAGCGAAUCUUUAGGAGCUUGCUCCUGAAGGUUAGCGGCGGACGGGUGAGUAACACGUGGGCAACCUGCCUGUAAGACUGGGAUAACACCGGGAAACCGGUGCUAAUACCGGAUAAUUCUUUCCCUCACAUGAGGGGAAGCUGAAAGUCGGUUUCGGCUGACACUUACAGAUGGGCCCGCGGCGCAUUAGCUAGUUGGUGAGGUAACGGCUCACCAAGGCGACGAUGCGUAGCCGACCUGAGAGGGUGAUCGGCCACACUGGGACUGAGACACGGCCCAGACUCCUACGGGAGGCAGCAGUAGGGAAUCUUCCGCAAUGGACGAAAGUCUGACGGAGCAACGCCGCGUGAGUGAUGAAGGUUUUCGGAUCGUAAAACUCUGUUGUUAGGGAAGAACAAGUAUCGGAGUAACUGCCGGUACCUUGACGGUACCUAACCAGAAAGCCACGGCUAACUACGUG
rnacentral:rRNA from 1 species